rnacentral:rRNA from 1 species
AUGGCCAUAUCACCUGAACACGCCCAAUCUCAUCUGAUCUCAGAAGCUAAGCAGGGUUGGGCCAGAUUAGUAGCUAAUUAUU